rnacentral:rRNA from 3 species
AAUCCAUAGGUUAAUGAGGCGAACCGGGGGAACUGAAACAUCUAAGUACCCCGAGGAAAAGAAAUCAACCGAGAUUCCCCCAGUAGCGGCGAGCGAACGGGGAGGAGCCCAGAGCCUGAAUCAGCAUGUGUGUUAGUGGAAGCGUCUGGAAAGGCGCGCGAUACAGGGUGACAGCCCCGUACACAAAAGCGCAUGUGCUGUGAGCUCGAUGAGUAGGGCGGGACACGUGGUAUCCUGUCUGAAUAUGGGGGGACCAUCCUCCAAGGCUAAAUACUCCUGACUGACCGAUAGUGAACCAGUACCGUGAGGGAAAGGCGAAAAGAACCCCGGCGAGGGGAGUGAAAAAGAACCUGAAACCGUGUACGUACAAGCAGUGGGAGCACCCUUUGGGUGUGACUGCGUACCUUUUGUAUAAUGGGUCAGCGACUUAUAUUCUGUAGCAAGGUUAACCGAAUAGGGGAGCCGGAGGGAAACCGAGUCUUAAU